rnacentral:rRNA from 1 species
UGGGGAAUUUUGGACAAUGGGGGAAACCCUGAUCCAGCCAUCUCGCGUGUGCGAUGAAGGCCUCCGGGUUGUAAAGCACUUUUGGCAGGAAAGAAACGUCAUGGGUUAAUACCCCGUGAAACUGACGGUACCUGCAGAAUAAGCACCGGCUAACUACGUGCCAGCAGCCGCGGUAAUACGUAGGGUGCAAGCGUUAAUCGGAAUUACUGGGCGUAAAGCGUGCGCAGGCGGUUCGGAAAGAAAGAUGUGAAAUCCCAGAGCUCAACUUUGGAACUGCAUUUUUAACUACCGUGCUAGAGUGUGUCAGAGGGAGGUGGAAUUCCGCGUGUAGCAGUGAAAUGCGUAGAUAUGCGGAGGAACACCGAUGGCGAAGGCAGCCUCCUGGGAUAACACUGACGCUCAUGCACGAAAGCGUGGGGAGCAAACAGG